rnacentral:rRNA from 1 species
AGUUUGAUCCUGGCUUAGGACGAACGCUGGCGGCGUGCCUAAUACAUGCAAGUCGAACGGUCUUUCUAUGGAAGCUUGCUUCCACUGAGAAGAUAGUGGCGAACGGGUGAGUAACACGUGGGUAACCUGCCCAUAAGAGGGGGGAUAACAUCCGGAAACGGGUGCUAAUACCGCAUAGUUUUUCUUGGUCGCAUGGUCGGGAAAGGAAAGACGGCCUUUGUGCUGUCGCUUAUGGAUGGACCCGCGGCGUAUUAGUUAGUUGGUGAGGUAACGGCUCACCAAGACGAUGAUACGUAGCCGACCUGAGAGGGUGAUCGGCCACAUUGGGACUGAGACACGGCCCAAACUCCUACGGGAGGCAGCAGUAGGGAAUCUUCCGCAAUGGACGAAAGUCUGACGGAGCAACGCCGCGUGAGUGAAGAAAGGUUUUCGGAUCGUAAAACUCUGUUGUCAGAGAAGAACAAGUUGGAGAGUAACUGCUCCAGCCUUGACGGUAUCUGACCAGAAAGCCACGGCUAACUACGUGCCAGCAGCCGC